CCUAUCUUUGCAUUGUUUUGUUCCAGACUGUCAUUCGGCGGAAUGGAUUAAAUGGGAAUCAGGUGAGAGUCCUGAACAGUCCCGCUGCUGUGAUCCUAUGAUGUGUCAAGCAUUACUUUAGCCACUGUCUCUUGGAGAUGGGAAGGCGCUUGAACCGGGUAGUCAGAAGACCUGCAAAACAUGCAUUUUUCAA
rnacentral:ncRNA from 2 species